UAUGAAUAGUUUCAUCUGGAACAUUGAAGAUUGUAAAGACAGACAUAUUACCACAAUUCUUCUCAUCUAACAAAGCUCUCCACUUGACCUUUCUUAUGGGUGGAAACUUUGGUCUAUGCCCCUAUAUUUGGAGCCAGUUCAUAUAAUGAUGAGAAGUUUAUCUGUGAAGAAUUGGGAGGGUAUGAUAUUUAGGAAUGAUUGUUCCACGAUGAGUACAAAGUCAACAAUAGAUCCAUUAUUACCUCCUGGUAUCAAUAGAGACCUCUUAUAUACAGGAAAUGCUACCAAAGAGAACAAGAAACGAUGGAGAAAUAUUGCCAUUUUGAUGAGAGUGAUGUAGUAGAGGAGAGAAGAAGUCAGAGAGACAGUAGGAAUAAAAAUCAGCUUUAAG